GAUCAUGAGUUCAACGGCCGCGGUAUUGACCGUGCAAAGGUAGCGCAAUCACUUGUCUUUUAAAUGAAGACCCGUAUGAAUGGCAAGACGAGGGCUUGACUGUCUCCUUUUUCAGGUCAAUGAAAUUGAUCUUCCCGUGCAGAAGCGGGAAUUAUUCCACAAGACGAGAAGACCCUAUGGAGCUUUAGACACCAAAGUAGAUCACGUCAAAGCCCCCAACAAAGGACUGAACUAAUUGAAUACUACCCUAAUGUCUUCGGUUGGGGCGACCACGGGGAAACACAAAACCCCCGCGUGGACUGGGAGUACCCUUACUCCUACAACUAAGAGCCUCCGCUCUAAUAAGCAGAAUUUCUGACCAACAAGAUCCGGCAAAGCCGAUUAACGAACCAAGUUACCCUAGGGAUAACAGCGCAAUCCUCUUUUAGAGUCCAUAUCGACAAGAGGGUUUACGACCUCGAUGUUGGAUCAGGACAUCCUAAUGGUGCAGCCGCUAUUAAGGGUUCGUUUGUUCAACGAUUAAAGUCCUACGUGAUCUGAGUUC
rnacentral:rRNA from 1 species